CCUACGGGAGGCAGCAGUGGGGAAUAUUGCACAAUGGGCGAAAGCCUGAUGCAGCAACGUCGCGUGAGCGAUGAAGGCCUUCGGGUCGUUAAGCUCUGUUCUCAAGGAAGAUAAUGACGGUACGUGAGGAGGAAGCCCCGGCUAACUACGUGCCAGCAGCCGCGGUAAUACGUAGGGGGCGAGCGUUAUCCGGAAUGACUGGGCGAAAAGGGUGCGUAGGUGGUUUCUUAAGUCAGAGGUGAAAGGCUACGGCUAAACCGUAGUAAGCCUUUGAAACUGGGGAACUUGAGUGGAGGAGAGGUGAGUGGAAUUCCUAGGGUAGCGGUGAAAUGCGUAGAUAUUAGGAGGAACACCAGUUGCGAAGGCAGCUCUCUGGACUGUGACUGACACUGAGGCACGAAAGCGUGGGGAGCAAACAGGAUUAGAUACCCGAGUAGUC
rnacentral:rRNA from 1 species